UACGGAGGGUGCAAGCGUUAUCCGGAUUCACUGGGUUUAAAGGGAGCGUAGGUGGGUCUGUAAGUCAGUGGUGAAAUCUCCGUGCUUAACAUGGAAACUGCCAUUGAUACUAUAGGUCUUGAAUUAUCUGGAGGUUAGCGGAAUAUGUCAUGUAGCGGUGAAAUGCUUAGAUAUGACAUAGAACACCAAUUGCGAAGGCAGCUGGCUACAGGUAAAUUGACACUGAGGCUCGAAAGCGUGGGGAUCAAACAGG
rnacentral:rRNA from 1 species